UCAAGUGUAUCCUGACCUUGUUGCUUCAAUUCUCUCGAUAUUUGCCUCUGAACAAAAUGAAAUAUUCGAACAUACGAUAUUCGAGUUUCGAGUGUUUAUUUUAUUUAACAAAGCCGCAAAUUGAUGUUCAGCGCCAACGGCGGUGCGUGCAAAAAGCGAAUUAAAGAAAAGCGUCGAAAGAGCGAUUUUUGUGCCACAACUCAUCCGUCCAGACACUUUCAAAACAAAAACACCAACAUUUUAGUGAACUUCGAAGAAACGCGCUGUGCCGUUGUAUGUGAGAGUGAAACGAGUGCAGUGCGCGACGUUUCGUGACCUUCUAAUUGCUCCUUCGUUUUUUUCGUCUUUAUGAACCAACAAAGUAACUCAAAAGCAGUAGAGGAAAAACAAAAACUAAUCGAAAUUUCUACGAUUAUUUAAUUCAACUAUAAAUCAAAGGACAGAGUGACACAAAUAUACCACAAAUAUUGAUAUUAUUAUUAUUAUUAUUAUUAGUUUUAAAUGAGAUGAUUGAAUGAAGGUUACCUGCUGAGAGCCUUGCCCUUCAGCUUGCUAGAACAGACCGUUUCCAACGUAGAUUUGCGGUAGAGAUUAUGUUAAGGCGCAUCGUGGUUAAAAAGAGAAAAAAAAACAAACAAACACAAAUAUAUGCGUUAAAUGACGGUUUUUCGUGAAAUAUGUGAGGUUUCGCUCUCGGCUGAGCGAUCGGGACUGCGAGGAUCGUGAUUGGAUGUAUUAAGGGCUGUUAUUGCGAUAUGUUUGGUUUUGAUAAAUCGUGAAAACGUGAUACAAUGGGGACAUUGGAAAAAUGGCGGUUCCGCCAUUUUUUCUUGGUGCAACGAAUCUUUUAAAAAAUUUUGGACUCUCGUCGCGUUCGUCGACGUCACGAAACCAUUCUUGGGACAACAAAAUAACAGUUUUCGCACGAAAUAUUUUAACGUGUCUGAGUUGCGAAGAAAACUAAGAUUUUCAGUCUGAAGCGAAGCUACUUUGCAAACGACACUUUGACGAAGUGUGAGAGGCUCGCUGAACGAAAAGUUUUCUGAAAUGUUUCUCUCGCCUUUCGAUAAAAUCGAAUAACGAUGACGAAGUUGCUCGGUUUUUUAUUCGGACGUCAAAAUUGGAAGAUAAACACGAUAAAAAUGAAAAAUGCUUCCAAUUUUUUCUAUUUUUCUUCAAACGCGACGCAUAUUCAAUACUCAUUAAUCAAAAUGUAAAUAUAAAAAACAAACGUAGAUAAAAAACAACAUAAAUUUAACGCAAAUAACAUUCGUUUUUGCGCAUUUACAACUCAAAACAUUUGACAGCCACGUGAUAAGCGUUUAGAACGCUUUGAAUACCACAUACCAUGAUAAAUCGAUUGUCACAUGUCAACCGAACAAAAGCUGUUUUUUGGAAAUCGUUCGAUUCCGAAUAAUGGCACGCAAAAAUUGAAGGGAAUUUAUUUUGAGGUUAUCAUUGGAGCGCGUAUAUAUAAAUAUGGUUUUUAUUGAUUUUUCUUAGAUUUAGUUCGCCGUUAUUAUCAACGUUGGCAUGAAUUUUUCAGGGUUAAAAUUUCCGUGGUUAGAAUGAGAGGAGAAAGAAUGAGGUCAGCGUUGAAAGAAAAGCUUGCGUAGAAUUUGGAAUGUAAAAGGCUAUCAACGGAUGAUGAAAAUGCUUAUAACUAUGUUUAUAUUCCAAACGCCGAUUAGUCGUAAAUCAUAACCUAAAUUCAGCUAACAAGAGGUCGUGACCGCCAUAAAUUCGAUGUAAUUAUGUCAGUUUUUGUAAUGAUAUUUUAUAGGAAAACUUCAAAUGCUUUUCACGACGCAGAAAAAAAAUCGAGGUGUCAAGUGUCAAUCGAACCAGAAAUGAUAUUUCUUCAAAGCUAUCGAUUGUGACUCGGGCACGAUAAGUGGAGGGAAAUUCUAUCGAUCGUCUCUGUAUAUAAAAUGUGGUUUUACUUCGGGGGUCACAUCACGUAAAUUCGUCGGAUCGAUAUCAUUGGUUUUUUGCUUCAGAACGAAAAUAAUUUACGAACAAAAUAGCCUACAAAAACCUCGUUUUUUGUCACGAUUUUUCAUUGCGAAAUGAAGAAAUUCAACCUACGCUUCCUCCCAAUUUUAUUACUCGUCGUUAUGGCUGUUGAUGCUACAGACAUUACCGUUCGGCGCCCAGUCUCCACCUGCGAGCGACAGAAUCUGGCCCAAGCGAGUGAGGCGAUUAUGUUUUGUCGCUAUGUUUCACACAAGAAUGUUCAGCCUCAGGAUGGAUAUUAUUCUAUAACCGCAGCUGAGCACCAUUUCAUGCCUCCGUUUCCAUAACAAGUGAAUCUAUGUUUCAUCUGGAAAUUCCAUCGAUUGAUUUAAUCGAGAAUAUUUUGUCUUGUCUCUGACUCAACCAAUUGUGAAAUGAAUUAUGGACUUUUCAGCAGUUUUCUUUACCCCGACAGCAACAAGGUGAUUGGAAAAUGGAAAAGAUUUGAAUUUGGAAAAUAAAUUGACUAUAGUUCGA